rnacentral:lncRNA from 10 species
UGUACGCGCCGGCUCCGGCAGGCUCACGCUACGGAAUCCGGGCGGCGGCGCACGUGACCCGGCGUUGCUAGGAAACGGGAGUGGGGCCUGCGGGGACGCGGCUGGAGCCUGCGCAUUUCUUCCUUCCUGCUUUCAAAGUUGCAAUGAGCGCAGAGCGGUGCGCCCGAGGGGGUUGAAGCGUUGAAAGUGUGUUACCCAGAUUUUAUCUGAGUUAAACACGGGCCGGCCGCUGUGGCUCACGUCUGUACUCCCAGAGCCUUGGGAGGUCGAGGCGGGAAGAUCGCUUGAGCCCGGGAGCUCGAGACCAGACGCGGCAACAUGGCGAGACGCACAUCUCUGCCUUUAAAAAUGUACAUAUAUAUAUAUAUAUAUGAACGUAUUAAUAAAUUAGGUGGGAGGAAGUGACCUCCUCCGCCCAAAUAAAAAUACUUAAAGGGCACUUGAAUCUGGAUCUCAGAAAAUGAAUAAUUUCUUAGUAUAAACGUCCUGUGCACCAUUUGGUUGGGACAAGUGGCGCGUUUACCCUAUUUUAAAAAAGUUUUAAGUUUUAGCCAACCGGGAUCAGCUUAGAUUGUGGGCGUCCAACCCCAGCCAACAGGGAAAGGACAGAGGAACAGAAGCUCCCUUCCUUUGUCCCGUGUGCUCUGGAGAUUGCAUCCCACGCAGGCAGCCCCCUUCCGUACAAGAGAGGCUGGCGGUUACCUUUCUUGGGGAGACGCGUCCGACUGCUUCAUUGUGGGGGCCUCAGGAGCGGAGGAUCGGGUCCCGCCCGAGGUGACGCGUAAACCCAGACUCUCAGCAACGCGGGUAGGAAGGACCCUUGAAGUUCCGCGGCGACCACGUCGGCUGAAACCAGCAGCCCAGGACAAGUGGACCAGCCAGCAAGACCCAGACCAUCCAAACCGGCUGAUCCUACGACAGGACCCAGAUGCCAGUGAAAGUGACCACAGCCCUGCUCUAGUCACCCCGGAAGCUGACCAGUCUACGCACGGCCGAAGCUUCGUCAAGGAAGCCUCCACCCCUCGAAUUCCCAGUUCACCGACACCAGCCUGGGGAUCACCUCCUUGUCAGAAGUUGGAAAGAGGAAAAACUCAGCCAACCUGGGAAGGACUUUAUCGGGUGCUCCUGACCACCAAGAUGACGGUCGGAAAGGGCCCCAUCCCUGGAGGGAUCUUGGACCUUCACUCCAGGAUCAACGCCUUCCAAAUUAACAUUCAAAAAGGUUUAAUCUGUCUCUUCCUUCUCCCUGUAGCCGCCCAAGGACGUCUUAUUAUCAAUAUAAGGUGAUCACCCUUUCCCCAGCUAGUUUCGUUUGAUGCCUGUCUGGUUCAUAUACCCCGUAAAGAUAUCCACAGCCAAAGACAGCCUCUUCUGAAGAAAAUCCUUGGCCCAGCCCUUGUAGUAACCGGUACCCUGGGGUGCCAUUCCCUGUUGAAAUUCGCUCAGGAUGGUGGCAGAAAUAUUAAAGGGAAACAUUAGGUAAAGUUAGAGAAAAUAGUCACAAACCGGCCGGGCGUGGUGGCUCACGCCUGUCAUCCUAGCACUUCGGGAGGCCGAGGCAGGAGGAUCACGAGGUCAGGAGAUCGAGACAAUCCCGGCUAACAUGGUGAAAC